rnacentral:rRNA from 1 species
UACGAAGGGGGCUAGCGUUGCUCGGAAUUACUGGGCGUAAAGCGCACGUAGGCGGCUUUCUAAGUCGGGGGUGAAAUCCUGGAGCUCAACUCCAGAACUGCCUUCGAUACUGGAAAGCUCGAGUCCGGGAGAGGUGAGUGGAACUGCGAGUGUAGAGGUGAAAUUCGUAGAUAUUCGCAAGAACACCAGUGGCGAAGGCGGCUCACUGGCCCGAUACUGACGCUGAGGAGCGAAAGCGUGGGUAGCAAACAGG